AUUGAACGCUGGCGGCAUGCCUUACACAUGCAAGUCGAACGGUAACGGGCCUUCGGGUGCCGACGAGUGGCGAACGGGUGAGUAAUACAUCGGAACGUGCCCGAUCGUGGUGGAUAACGAGGCGAAAGCUUUGCUAAUACCGCAUACGAUCUACGGAUGAAAGCAGGGGACCGCAAGGCCUUGCGCGGACGGAGCGGCCGAUGGCAGAUUAGGUAGUUGGUGGGAUAAAAGCUUACCAAGCCGACGAUCUGUAGCUGGUCUGAGAGGAUGAUCAGCCACACUGGGACUGAGACACGGCCCAGACUCCUACGGGAGGCAGCAGUGGGGAAUUUUGGACAAUGGGCGCAAGCCUGAUCCAGCCAUGCCGCGUGCAGGAUGAAGGCCUUCGGGUUGUAAACUGCUUUUGUACGGAACGAAAAGCCUUCUUUUAAUACAGGAGGGUCAUGACGGUACCGUAAGAAUAAGCACCGGCUAACUACGUG
rnacentral:rRNA from 1 species